UUUAUAUUUAGAGAGUGCUUUCUGGGACGCUCGGGACGGGAUAGUCAAUGUGGCGCGAAUUCCCCGUGCGCGAGCAGCCAGCCAUGUCGUCUUCGACCGUUCCAUGUGAGCGUGACGUCCUACUCUUUAAACAUUCGCACCUUUCAGACGCUGUGAUCAACCCUAUCGACCACGACGUUAUUUAUCAGACAUUGAAGCAGCCAUCUCCCUGAGAAUGAAAGACAACGAUGAAGACGGCAGGGGAGUCUGCGGCCUGAUGGCUCAUGGAUGUUCUCCAGAACCACUGGCCCCUCCUCAGGAUACUGGGACCAGUGAGCCUGACCAGCAGGUCCCCCCCGCAGACUGGAGGCCGCCCUGCCUGGACGGGGAGGACUCAAUGUACUCCGCAGGGGAGCACAGAGAAGAGAAUGAGAAAAAAGAAGACCACAUCAUCCAUCGGGCAGUAUCAGCAGUUCCUGAGUCCAGGGAGAAGAAAGAGAAAGACCCGGUCUGGAGCCCGUCCUUCCAAUCCCAGCUGUCAGGGAGGCAGUACAGCCAACGACAGACCGAUCCACACCGGAGACUGGAGCCACUGAAGACCUGUGCUCGGCCAAUCAGGGUCGGGCUUUCAAAGCGUGCCAAGACCUCUCAUCUGCACCGUAAUCACCCCUACAAGUAAACAGAAGGUGCACCAAAGACCCCACACCGAUGUCCGUGAAGCUGAAGCUGAGAGGGAGUAGCAGUAUCACCUAAGUUCUUGUUCUUGUUGUGUUGAUGUUCCAGAUGGUUGAAUUGGUUUCUGAAUGCGUUCCUGCACAUCUUAUUGCAGCCUAGUUAAUCGCUUGUUCAAUAUCAGUCACCUUCAACUGUGAUUCUACCCACUUCUAGAGUGCAUUUCUUCACAACUACAUGGUUUAACUGUUCAGUGGAAAUGCAAAUUCGACAAUCUGGGAAAAAGGAGGUUUGCUCUGCUCUAGCGCUGAUUAUCUCCUAGGACUGCUACUUUUUGGCUUUCCCUUUUGGCCGUUUCCUUAUGUUUUCAUACAACUCGUGUGUGUUCAGUCAAAUUUAAGUUAUAAUGACAAAAUAUGCUUGUUAUUCACUAUUUAUAUGCUGCUGUUGUGUGCAGUUUUGACCUAUUUAUACCUUACUGAAGGAAUCGAUUCCCAUGUAUUUAUACAAUAUUAUAUUUGUAUUUAUUUACCAUAUUUGAUUAGUAUUUAUUUGUCUGUGCAGCGUCACAUUUGUCGCCAUGUGUUGACUCUAUUCAAACUGUUCUGUGUGGGAGUUUGCAAUCAGGGCUGCAAAUGUUAUGUUAUUUAUGCGUUUGUUGAUUCUUUCACCCAACCAUUAAACUGAUUGCUGAUUGAUUGCAA
ensembl:lncRNA